rnacentral:rRNA from 1 species
UACGUAGGGUGCGAGCGUUGUCCGGAAUUAUUGGGCGUAAAGAGCUCGUAGGCGGUUUGUCGCGUCUGCUGUGAAAACUCGGGGCUUAACUCCGGGCCUGCAGUGGGUACGGGCAGACUAGAGUGCGGUAGGGGAGACUGGAAUUCCUGGUGUAGCGGUGAAAUGCGCAGAUAUCCGAAAGAACACCGGUGGCGAAGGCGGUGGUCUGGGCCUGAACUGACGCUGAGGAGCGAAAGCCAGGGGAGCAAACGGG